ensembl:snoRNA SNORA3C small nucleolar RNA, H/ACA box 3C
GCCGAGACUAGAGUCGCAUCCUGACACAGCUCUUGGUGUGCUACGGUACUUGGAGAGAAUCUACUGGUCUUGAUUCACUGGUGGGGGCAGUCGUUGCUUCCUUUAGUGCGCAGAUCAGAAACAUAC